GAGAGCCGGAUGCGUUGAGAGGCGCACGUCCGGUUCGGCGAGAGGUCCAGGGAAACGGACCGGGAGCAAUCCCGACACCGCGCCCUGGACCUACUCAGC
rnacentral:ncRNA from 1 species